rnacentral:sRNA from 2 species
CGCCCGUCAAACCACGAAAGUUAACAAUACCCAAAACCGGUGGCCUAACCAUUUAUGGAGGGAGCCGUCUAAGGUAGGGUUGAUGAUUGGAGUUAAGUCGUAACAAGGUAUCCGUACCGGAAGGUGCGGAUGGAUCACCUCCUUUCUAAGGAGUAAAACUAAAAUUACAAUCAAUAUACAUUCUCAUCAUAUUCAGUUUUGAAGGAUUUUCCUUCUUUUAAUUUAUGGGCCUAUAGCUCAGCUGGUUAGAGCGCACGCCUGAUAAGCGUGAGGUCGAUGGUUCGAGUCCAUUUAGGCCCACCAUUAUAGGCUAUAUGGCUAUAGUCUGUAAAUAAGUAUUGAGAUCUUUGAAAAGUAGAUAAAUUCUGUCGUAACAAAUAAUAUAUAAAAAGACAAAAGGUUAAGGAAAAAAGGGCGCACAGUGGAUGCCUUGGCACUAAGAGCCGAUGAAGGACGCAACUAACGGCGAAACGCCACGGGGAGCAGUAAGUAUGUACCGAUCCGUGGAUAUCCGAAUGGGGGAACCCGGCAUGUUGGAGACAUGUCACUUGUGAAAACAAGAGGGAACGCAGGGAAUUGAAAUAUCUUAGUACCUGCAGGAAAAGAAAGUAAUAACGAUUCUGCUAGUAGCGACGAGCGAACGCGGAGGAGCCCGAUACAACAGCAGUUACAAAACUAUUAAUGAGAAGAAUAAUUUGGGAAGGUUAACCAAAGAAGGUGAAAGUCCUGUAAUCGAAAUUAAUAGACUGGUGUAUCAAAGAGUACGGCGAGACACGAGAAAUCUUGCUGGAACGAGUAAGGAGGACCAUCUCCUAAGGCUAAAUACUACUUAGUGACCGAUAGUGAACCA